UGCUAUUUUACUUUUUUGGAAGUGCUUUUUGGCACGAUGUUUUAUGCUAUAUUAUCAUGCUGCAGACCGCGUGUAGUAUGCUGUACUCCCUCUGUUCCAAAAUAUAAGCAAGGUCUAUUAUUUUUUUCAGAAUCUGUUCUAAAAUUGAAGUGUAUUAAUUUUUUUACUAUAAACUUGGUCCAACAUAGAAAAGGUUGACUUCUGAAAUAAUUAAUAUGCCUUGUAUUUUGGAACAGAGGGGAGUAUUGUUAUAAUUUUACCCAGAAGUUAUCAGUUUACCCACAAGUUAAAAUCAUUGAUAACAGAAACAUAUACAUAUCCAUAUUUGUACUGAAUGACAAGUCAUGGAAUUGCAUGUAUCUGAUAUGAACAGAGUUGAAACUGAAAAUCUCACAUAUUAUAGCAAGGACCUAUUUAGAGCUGAUACUAUUUUUAGCCAUGGCUGUAGUUGAUAUGGUCCCUUAGAUCGUAACAGGGGGAUCAUAACAGUGUACAUACUGCCCAGAGGACAGCUUUAUCAAACUAGCUUCUUUAGGGGAGGGGAGACUAAACUACCAAAGUUGAGACAGAAUAUACAGGACUCAAUCUCCAUAGAUUAAUUUUUUCUCGAAAUACACCAGAAUGCGUAAUCCUUUUCUUGUUUUUUUUCAUCGUUUUCUUCGUAGUUGUAGUCCCUUGAUGUAAAGCGUGUAUAAAAAAAACUAGCAAACUUUUUCUGAAAUUCGAGUUGUUAAUUGAAUAUUGUUUGUCACUGCUCCAAGAUAUUGCAUACGAUUGUUUUCUGUCAGGAAUGUUUCCAUAACUAGCAAUGACCAUAUAUAACCUAGCAAACUACAGAAAACAUCUUGUGAAAUUCGAUUGGUUUGCCAAUGCUCCAUUUUGUAAUGUUGCUUAAGAGGACAUUUUGUGUUAUUUUGGAGAACACUUGAGCUGUUUUAAGCUCAAGUAAUUGGCACAGGGGAAGCUAGGGUUAGGGGCUUGUUAGUCAUAGAGUGUUGAGGGGCCUAUUGGGCUCUGUAGUAUCAGUCUUCCCCUCCGGAAUAAUUGAAUCUUAUUGCCACGGCAUGGGUUAGGGCCUUUAGAUGAUGGGCGAUUCGAGUGAUCAGGGGAGGGGGAUUGGGAUCGUAGAAUUAUUAGUGGCUUAAAAGGGCAGAUUUCUGUCAGUGUUGGUUGAGCGAGUGCUAUUGAUGUUGGAAACAAUGUCCAAGUUCCUGUGGAUGGUUUGGUGCUCAUUUUAAUUUAAAUGGUGCUUAGCCUUUAUGGCAAUGUUCUAUUUUCUGCAUUAUUUUUGUUGGCAUUUGGUUUUGGUUCUGCAGCUGAAGUUUGGCAUAAUACUUCUUUGUGAUAUCAGAGAAACCAGUGAUAGUCGAAGUUGGAAAUCAAAUGGCUUGUUUGCUGUUAGUGUGAUUGGUGGUUGUAACUGUUGGCUUAAUUGUGUCUUUCGUACCCCAAAUGCAAAUAGUAAAGGAAAUGUUUUUUCAUGGCGCAAAUGUGCAUGGCUGUUAGCAGUCAGGUCAUAUAUUCCACGUGGUUGCAUAUUGUUCCAUUUGGAAGGCGAUGACAGUAUAUGCAUGCUUGCCUAUUUUUGGCAGCAUGGAAGUCAGACAAGAUAUUUCUGUUUUUCCAUUAGUUAACAAACUUUUCCUAAGAUACUUUAUGGUCAGCUCAAGGAUCAGGUUUCUGUAGGUACUUCGAAAUAUAUCUAUGUCCAUGAAUUUUGUCUUUCAUUUUGCUGAUGUUUAAGUUAUAUUUUCUGUUGAACUUUUUACAAGAGAACUCCAAAAGAUGGUCAUAUUUAUUUCUGUCUGAACACAUUUCAGAUCAACAGCAUUGUAGGAUUGCACUCAGUGUGCCCCUGAAGCCCAGUCAGUUCUGUGACCCAAAUGCUUGGACGAGAUCAUGCACUUUUCGCUAACUAAUAUGGCUGUAUGAGUUCAGAGAAACCCUUAAGAUGCUGGUGAUGACGAUCCGGUUGUCGAGACGAUAGUGAUGAUGUUCUAGUUCUGCUACUACAAUAACAUCGCUGCAACUCUAAGAAUAUUGGUUUACCAAGUCACCUGCCAAGGCAGCAGUUCGGUGAUCGAAGUUUGUUUGCCUGUGAGGUCGCAAGGAGGGGAGGUGCAGAGAAACCCUUGAGAUGCCGGUGAAGAAGAUUCGGUUGCGGAGAUGAUAGUGAUGAUUUUCUAGUCCCGCUCCUGCAAGAAAAACGGGUGCUACUCUUAAGAUUUUAGUUUUAUCAUGUCACCUGCCAAGCCAGCAGUUUGGUGAUCAAAGCCUGUUUGCCUGUUUUGGUCGACAGGAGGGGAGCUGCAGGUUUGUAUAAGGUGAACCCUUGAGAUGUUGGCAAUGGAAGAUCUGGUUGUCGAGGUGAUGGUGAUUAUGUUUUAGUUCUUAUCCGGCAAGAAUAUCAUGGCAGUUCUAAGAUUUUUGGUUAACCAAGUCGCCUGCCAAGCCAACAGUUUGGUGGUCGAAGUCUGUUUGCCUCUGAAGGUCGCCAGGACAGGAGCUGCAGGUUUGUAUAACAUAGUUUCAGUAUAACUGAAUGAGUGAGGUUGUGUUCUGACAUCAAAUUGAAAGGAGGCCUUGUCAACAUGUAAGCUAAAUGUAGACUAUUA